UACGGAGGGAGCUAGCGUUAUUCGGAAUUACUGGGCGUAAAGCGCACGUAGGCGGCUUUGUAAGUUAGAGGUGAAAGCCUGGAGCUCAACUCCAGAAUAGCCUUUAAGACUGCAUCGCUUGAAUCCAGGAGAGGUGAGUGGAAUUCCGAGUGUAGAGGUGAAAUUCGUAGAUAUCGGAAGAACACCAGUGGCGGAAGGCGGCUCACUGGACUGGUAUUGACGCUGAGGUGCGAAAGCGUGGGGAGCA
rnacentral:rRNA from 1 species